rnacentral:snRNA from 1 species
GUAGCUCUCUUUGCCUUUUGGCUUAGAUCAAGUGUAGUAUCUGUUCUUUUCAGUUUAAUAUCUGAAAUAUCGUCCACGCGACGAUAUCGGUUAUUAAUAAUAUUUUUGCAUUUGGAAGAAGUCCUCUUGGCUUGCCUACGUCUUCCUCACCGUGUCUCUGGUAUCGCACUGUCUCCAGAUGAUGCGAACGUCC